AGAGUUAAGGCAGCCUUCUUUAAUAGAACAAAGUUUAUUGUCGGUGAUGGCAAUGAUACACGGUUCUGGGAGGAUACUUGGCUGGGUGAUACACCAUUGGCAAUACAGUACCCAACCCUGUAUCGUAUUGUCCAGCGACGGGAUGAGUUAGUUGGAACGGUCAUGCAGUCCAUUCCCCUUAAUAUUCAAUUUCGGAGGGUGCUUGUUGGUGAUAGAUGGGAAGCUUGGCUUCAUCUGGUGCGUAGACUGAUGGAAGUCCAGCUAGCUCAUCAGCCCGACCAGUUGUGUUGGAAACUUACUAGGUCUGGACAAUUUACUGUUAAGUCGAUGUACAUCGAUGUUAUUAACUCGACUGUCAUUCCUAGUUCCAAAUAUGUUUGGAAAGUAAAAGUUCCUUUAAAAAUUAAAGUGUUUAUGUGGUUUGUCCAUAAACAGGUUAUUUUAAUAAAGGACAACUUGGUUAAGCGCAAUUGGACAGGAUCUACUAGGUGUAGUUUCUGUGAUCAUGACGAGACCAUUAAGCAUCUCUUCUUUGAGUGUCCAUUGGUGAGAAUUCUGUGGCGCACCGUGCAAAUUGCCUUU
rnacentral:rRNA from 1 species